UAAGAACCGUUGAAUUAUCUAAGCUCAAAAUUUGACUGUUUAUCGGCAUAAUUACGUUACAAAAAAAAAACCCUUACAUAUCUAACUACCAAAUUAGACUAUUUAUCGACUUAGUUUCAUUACAA